rnacentral:tRNA from 1 species
UGGGGUAUAGCUCAAGUGGUAGAGCACAUGCUUAGCAUGCACGAGGUCCUGGGUUCAAUCCCCAGUACUUCCU